AGAGUUUGAUCCUGGCUCAGAUUGAACGCUGGCGGCAUGCCUAACACAUGCAAGUCGAACGGAAACGAUGGGAGCUUGCUCCCAGGCGUCGAGUGGCGGACGGGUGAGUAAUACUUAGGAAUCUGCCCAUUAGUGGGGGACAACUAGAAGAAAUUCUAGCUAAUACCGCAUACGCCCUACGGGGGAAAGCGGAGGACCUUUCGGGGCUUCGCGCUAAUGGAUGAGCCUAAGUCGGAUUAGCUUGUUGGUGAGGUAAAAGCUCACCAAGGCGACGAUCCGUAGCUGGUCUGAGAGGAUGAUCAGCCACACUGGGACUGAGACACGGCCCAGACUCCUACGGGAGGCAGCAGUGGGGAAUAUUGGACAAUGGGCGCAAGCCUGAUCCAGCAAUGCCGCGUGUGUGAAGAAGGCCUGCGGGUUGUAAAGCACUUUCAGUAGAGAAGAAAAGCCUAUGGUUAAUACCCGUGGGUCUUGACGUUACCUACAGAAGAAGCUCCGGCUAACUCCGUGCCAGCAGCCGCGGUAAUACGGAGGGAGCGAGCGUUAAUCGGAAUUACUGGGCGUAAAGCGCGCGUAGGCGGCUUUGUAAGUCGGAUGUGAAAGCCCCGGGCUUAACCUGGGAAUUGCAUUCAAAACUGGCAGACUAGAGUAUGGUAGAGGGAAGUGGAAUUUCAGGUGUAGCGGUGAAAUGCGUAGAUAUCUGAAGGAACAUCAGUGGCGAAGGCGACUUCCUGGACCAAUACUGACACUGAGGUGCGAAAGCGUGGGUAGCAAACAGGAUUAGAUACCCUGGUAGUCCACGCCGUAAACGAUGUCAACUAGCCGUUGGGAACCUCGAUGUUCUUAGUGGCGCAGCUAACGCGUUAAGUUGACCGCCUGGGGAGUAC
rnacentral:rRNA from 1 species